UACGUAGGGUGCGAGCGUUAAUCGGAAUUACUGGGCGUAAAGCGUGCGCAGGCGGUUCGGUAAGUUCGUUGUGAAAGCCCCGGGCUCAACCUGGGAAUGGCAAUGGAAACUGGCGAGCUUGAGUGUGGCAGAGGGGGGUGGAAUUCCGCGUGUAGCAGUGAAAUGCGUAGAGAUGCGGAGGAACACCGAUGGCGAAGGCAGCCCCCUGGGCCAACACUGACGCUCAGGCACGAAAGCGUGGGGAGCAAACAGG
rnacentral:rRNA from 1 species